rnacentral:lncRNA from 1 species
UUGUAGCCCUAGUCCAUAGCUUACCAAAUUAGGGUUGAUGCCCAUCACAUUCUUCCUUGGGAUUUGAGCCCCACACUCUGAGUCUGUGCCAGUCUCUCUGUAAUAUUAGAAGUCACAACAGUAGGGCAGCAGCAGUAGUAGUGAUGGAGCAUUGUCGAAUGUUGUUGUUAGUGUGUGUGUGCGUGUGAGAUGGCGGGGUCCAGAACAUGUGCUUGUGAACAGAUGGAGGCAUGGAUUUCUCUUAUUAAUAGAUAUAAUAUGGAUAUAUCAAUAGUGGGUGUGUGUGUUUGUGUGAUUAUAUAUAAAUAGGCCCACAUGUAAAUGAUCCUGCAGUCAUAGAAUUUUAUUGCAAAGAUGAGCCAUGA